AGCGAAAGCGAGUCUGAAUAGGGCGCAUGAGUACGUGGACGUAGACCCGAAACCGUGUGAUCUACCCCUGCCCAGGGUGAAGGUGCGGUAACACGCACUGGAGGCCCGAACCCACGAAUGUUGAAAAAUUCGGGGAUGAGGUGGGGGUAGCGGAGAAAUUCCAAUCGAACUCGGAGAUAGCUGGUUCUCCCCGAAAUAGCUUUAGGGCUAGCCUCGGGAGAUGCGUCGUGGAGGUAAAGCACUGAUUGGGUGCGGGGCCCGCCAAGGGUUACCAAGUCCAGUCAAACUCUGAAUGCCACAGACGUUAUCCCGGGAGUCAGACAGUGAGUGCUAAGAUCCAUUGUCAAGAGGGAAACAGCCCAGAUCAUCAGCUAAGGUCCCCAAGUGUGUGUUAAGUGGGAAAGGAUGUGGAGUUGCACAGACAACCAGGAUGUUGGCUUAGAAGCAGCCACCAUUGAAAGAGUGCGUAAUAGCUCACUGGUCGAGUGACUCUGCGCCGAAAAUGUAACGGGGCUAAACACACCACCGAAGCUAUGGGUCCUUUGUGGGCAGUAGGGGAGCGUUGUAUGCGGGUAGAAGCUGGAUCGUGAGGACUGGUGGACUGCAUACAAGUGAGAAUGCCGGUAUGAGUAACGAAAAGAUCAGUGAGAAUCUGAUCCGCCGUAAGCCUAAGGGGUCCUGAGGAAGGUUCGUCCGCUCAGGGUAAGUCGAGACCUAAGGCGAGGCCGAAAGGCGUAGUCGAAGGACAACAGGUUGAAAUUCCUGUACCGCCGUGAACCGUUAUGAGCUAUGGGGUGACGCAGAACGAUAGUGACGCGAGCUGAUGGAUGCUCGUCCAAGCAGUGAGGCUGGUAUGUAGGCAAACCCUUAUCCCGUAGGCUGGGCUGUGAUGGGGAGGGAAAAUUACAGUACCGAAGGGCAUGAGUUCAAGCUGCCAGGAAAAGCCUCUAGCCAGGGAGAAGGUGCCCGUACCAAAAACCGACACAGGUAGGCGAGCAGAGCAUGCUAAGGCGCGCGGAAGAACUCUCGUUAAGGAACUCGGCAAAAUGACCCCGUAACUUCGGGAGAAGGGGUGCCUCGGUAGGGUGAAUAGCCCGAGGGGGCCGCAGUGAAAAGGCCCAAGCGACUGUUUAGCAAAAACACAGGUCUGUGCGAAGCCGCAAGGCGAAGUAUACGGGCUGACGCCUGCCCGGUGCUGGAAGGUUAAGGGGAGCGGUUAGGAGCAAUCCGAAGCUGUGAACCGAAGCCCCAGUAAACGGCGGCCGUAACUAUAACGGUCCUAAGGUAGCGAAAUUCCUUGUCAGGUAAAUUCUGACCCGCACGAAUGGCGUAACGACUUGGGCGCUGUCUCAACGAGAGAUCCGGUGAAAUUUUAAUACCUGUGAAGAUGCAGGUUACCCGCGACAAGACGGAAAGACCCCAUGGAGCUUUACUGCAGCUUGAUAUUGGACUUUGGUACGAUCUGUACAGGAUAGGUGGGAGCCAUUGAAGCAUGAGCGCCAGCUUGUGUGGAGGCGACGUUGGGAUACCACCCUGAUCGUAUCGGAGUUCUAACUUGGUACCGUGACCCGGUACGAGGACAGUGUCAGG
rnacentral:rRNA from 1 species